rnacentral:lncRNA from 1 species
UCGCAAGACCUGGUUGUUUAAAAGUGGGCGGCACCUUCCCCUUCGCUCUUCCUCCUGCUCCUGCCCUGGUGUGUCUGGAUGGUGACAGAUGGGAAUCUUCUCCAGUGACCAGAAUCCAUGCCUUACCUUGGGAGCCCAAGGUGACUUCUCAAGCUCUGGGGAUGCCUCAGUGAUCUCUGAUGUGGAAUUAGUGGAGGCUGGCCGUUGCUCACCUCUACACAGCCUGCUGGUCGUUAGCGAGCAGGAGUUCUGAUGUUCCUCUCAUCUUGGAUGGCUUUCCUAGGAGAAUAUUUCUCACGUGUUUGACAGAAAACAUUAUCUGUCCAUCAUUUCCAUGGAUUCCUGGGUCUCACGGGCAGAAGGACAAGGCAGAUAUGAGGCGGAUCUGGUAAAGCCAUAAACACCAUGAGAUCAGAGCAUCCAUCUGUAGACUCACAGAGCAAGAAGCGUGACUGCCCCAAUCUUGAAUGGAUGAGUAAGAUGAAAAUCAAUUUAUAAACAUCUUGUGACAAGCUGGAAUUCAGUUAUAGAUCAAUUACAGAUUGCUCACUGGACAAUCAAGGACAUUAUUAGAAAACGGUUUCCACCACUAGAAAUUCAUCUACAUUGACAUCCACCUAAAUAUCCAGAAGGUCAUCCCCACUUUCGUCGCUCUCCACAGUCAGCUGCCGGGUCCACCACUUCUUAACUUCAGAACCGCAGGAAGCCGCGUCAGUCAUGGGGUUCAUUUUGCACACGACAGAUUUCAUGGUUGUCCUUCCUCCAAACCGAGGAACCUAGAUCUUCUCUGAUCUCUGAAAAAUAAGUUCCUGGAUAUGAAAGGGGAUACUUUCCUUGGUGGUAGUCCCAGUGAAGACCCACUGAACAUCGUCAGCCUCAAAAUGUAAGCUGUGCUGUCAUCUGCUUUGUGGAACACAUAUGCUACACAUCUUCUCCUUUCAAUUGGGCUGAAGUUGGGGCACAGUUAAAGAGCAUUAUAAAGCUCCUGCUUUAGCAUGAACUUAGUUAUCUAUAGAAAAAAACAUGUACAAGGACACUGGGCUGUGGGGAGCAUUGCUCUCCCUCCAUUCCUGAGUGCUCUUAAUGGGAUUAUCCUGGCUUUCCAAAACCCUAUAGAGAAGAAGCUCAUAGAAGAAAAUUCUCUUACUGAAUCAGUAAAAUAUGGAAAAUAAUGGGACUGUUUAUUAAAGGAUUGAAUGAGAGAACACAAGUAAUGCACUUAGAAGAGUGACUGGCAUACAGUGAGUACUACGUGCUGGCUUCUCAACCAUGAUAGCCUGAAAUGUACCCGGAAAAUGGGGGCUAAUGUAAGUCAUAUUUAGAGAAGUUAUUUUGGGGGACAAUGUUUUUGACAAGACUACAUUUUUCAUUAUGUUGCUGUCUGUAAACAACUGUAGAUGCAGACUUGCAUUUUGAAAGGCAAGACCCAAAACACACAAACAGAGUAAAUACCUUUAAAAUGCCUCGAUCGCUGGAGAAAUGCCUGGAUGGACCUACCUGAGGGCAGACGCCACUGCCCAAAUUUCCUCUGGGGUUUCCCUGCGUCGGCUGCAUCUUGCCGACUUCCUCCUCGAUCCGACAGCGUGGGGCUCAGGAGCUGCUGCUGGCUGCUUGUCUGCAUGGGAGGAGAAGCACACAGUUACCGUCUUUUUAACCCUGCGCUCUCCUCCUUUUACUAUAAGAAAGGAAAACACAUGGCAGGAGGACAAGUGGGAAGAACAACAUGGACUCAGAGUGUCCACAAUGGGGAAAAGUGAAAAUGGGUAUAAAGGGUCACAGAAGAAAAAGAGCCACCACUGCACGCCCUGCUGAAGGAGACACCACUCUUCCUGGGACAUCUUGUCCUGGGUAACCCCCACUGCUUCGUUCCCCUCCAUGCCUGAGAAUGUCAUUGUUUCCCUUCAUAUCUUCGCUGGCAAACCAGGGGGUAAGGAAGGGGAACUGCAGGAAGGAAGGUGGGGCAGUGGGGACGGGCUGGGCGGGGGCAGUCUACUGUCACCAGCCUGGAGAUCCACACUUAGAGCUUCAGGGAAAGAGUUCUCUGCAGGCAAAGCUGUAUGAUGGGCCCUGGUGGAGGAUGGAGCUGAUAACAAUCUAAGCUACAGUGAAAGAAAGAGAGAUGCCAAGACUUCCCACACAUUUCACCUGUUCUCAGGUUCACCUGUCACCUCUCCCUUUCCUAACAAAAGCCUUGGUCUUCACAUCUCUUUAGUAUCCUUUUUUUUUUUUUUUUGUCACCUCUUUCUUUCUUAGGCUUUUUCAUCUAAAAACAGAGGGCUCUGAAAUCAUCACUUUCCCCAACCUCAUUAGCCCUGUCUCACUGUCUGUCCUGACUUCAGCCUGCCUCCCUCUCCCAUGCGAGACAUUGCCAACCAUCUUCAGGGUGACCAGUGGCAAGGCCACUGCAGAUGCCUCCCCUUGCCCCUUGGUUGACUAACUCCGCAGAAGUCCCUGCAGUCGGUGGCAGAUGAUUUCUAAAGGCUGGGGAGCCCAAAACAUGAGAUCUACUGAAAACUGAGCUAUGGCACCAGUGGGCCUCCUGGAGCACCCUGCUGGGCCGUGGAGCCUUAGGCUUCCAAAGGUACUCUGGCCCCUGGCUGCGUUGCUGCACACCAUGGAGCCUGGUGCUGCUGGGGGCUCUGCACAGAGCACGGGAUCAGCUCCACGUUGUUAACCUCAAAUCGUAAUUGCUGCCUCAUAAAGGGGCAGGUCCUCCCAGCCAGCUGCUUCUCACAGCACAGGACUCUCCAGGACGCUGAUAACUCCUUGUACUUUUUUAUAUAGACACAUACAUAGAGUUUGAAAAUGAAAAUAUGCUGUGACUUAAUAAAUAGAAACUCCUCAAG